UCGGGAAUUUUGGGCAAUGGGCGAAAGCCUGACCCAGCAACGCCGCGUGAAGGAUGAAGUAUUUCGGUAUGUAAACUUCGAAAGAAUAGGAAGAAUAAAUGACGGUACCUGAAGAAUAAGCACCGGCUAACUACGUGCCAGCAGCCGCGGUAAUACGUAGGGUGCAAGCGUUAAUCGGAAUUACUGGGCGUAAAGCGUGCGCAGGCGGUUGUGUAAGUCAGAUGUGAAAUCCCCGGGCUCAACCUGGGAAUUGCAUUUGAGACUGCACGGCUAGAGUGUGUCAGAGGGGGGUAGAAUUCCACGUGUAGCAGUGAAAUGCGUAGAUAUGUGGAGGAACACCGGUGGCGAAGGCGACAUCCUGGACCAAUUCUGACGCUGAGGGGCGAAAGCCAGGGGANCAAACGGGAUUAGAUACCCAAGUAGUCCCUGAGCGGGCUGGCAAGGCGCAU
rnacentral:rRNA from 1 species